CUUGGCGCCAGGAGGCGAAGAAGGACGCGACAGGCUGCGAUAAGCUGCGGGGAGCCGCCAAAUAGGCACCGAUCCGCAGAUCUCCGAAUGGGACAACCCGGCUGGGGGUCAUACUCCAGUAUCCGCCGGUAAAUUCAUAGCCGGCGGAGGCCAAACCGAGGGGAGUGAAACAUCUCAGUACCUCGAGGAAUAUAAAGCAACCGCGAUUUCCCAAGUAGCGGCGAGCGAACGGGAACAAGCCUAAACCGGACAGGUGCGAUACCUCGUGAGGGUUAUCUGACCGGUGUCGCGGGAGCGGCCGUGAGCUGUCACGAAAGCUCGGACGAGUUACAAAGCUCGACACUAACUGAAGAGGGGACUGGAAAAGUCCCGCCGUAGAGGGUGAUAGCCCCGUAAGUGAAAGUGUGCGAGUCUCGUCUGGCCGUUUCCCAAGUAAGGCGGGUCACGUGGAAGCCCGCUUGAAUCCGGGUGGAACCAUCAUCCACAUCGUGCGACCAGGCGUUGGGUUGGACGGCGACAGCGCCACUCACGUGAGCGAGGC
rnacentral:rRNA from 1 species